rnacentral:tRNA from 1 species
UCCUUGGUGGCUUAGAUGGUAAGGCAUCCUCCUGCAAUGUGGGAGACCUGGGUUCAAUCCCUGGGUUGGGAA